UCUUUUGCCUUUUAAUCUCUCACAAUCACAAUCUUUCUCUUCUCCAGCAUUACGAUCUUCAUCAUCCGUCUCAACUACCUCCAACAACUCCACAAUCACAUCACUUCUCUUCAAAAAAUCCAAACCCAACUCAGAUCAUCCCAAAUCCGGUAACUUCCAACUCUUUUUCUUUCCCAUCUUCAUCAUAUUAGUUUAAUUAGACAUGUAAAAUUGAUAAUUUUUAAGUCGAUCCAUCAACUUUCUGGACGAUGAACCUAACAUGUCUUCACAGAUUUGUUAGACCCAAAAGCAGAGCAUUUGAUAAAUUUAUUGAAGUUUUAAUAGCACCUAUAUUUUCAUUUUUGUUUAUUUUAGUUACUAUAGCUUAAGAGGUAGAUUUCAUUGUAUAUUGUAAUUGAAGUAAUUUAAGUUAGAAUGUAGGCAUGGUUAAGGCGUUUGGUUGAACUAAUUAAUGUUUUGGUUGUUCAGCAAGAGUACAAGAACUGUUCGUGUACGAGAUAAACGAGCGAGACAGGGGAAGCCCAGCAUUCCUAAAACUAAGCAAGAAGGCUGAGAAUUCACUGGGGGAUUUGGUCCCAUUCAGCAACAAGCUCUACUCCGGCGACCUUCAGAAGCGGCUCGGCAUAACGACCGGCCUCUGCGUCCUAAUUCAGCACUUGCCUGAAAAGAAAGGGGACCGCUACGAGGCCAUCUACAGCUUCUACUUUGGCGAUUACGGCCACAUAACCGUCCAAGGCGCCUACUUGACUUAUCAAGACAC
rnacentral:lncRNA from 1 species